rnacentral:rRNA from 1 species
GUAAAGCACUCCUACGGGAGGCAGCAGUGGGGAAUAUUGCACAAUGGGCGCAAGCCUGAUGCAGCCAUGCCGCGUGUAUGAAGAAGGCCUUCGGGUUGUAAAGUACUUUCAGCAGUGAGGAAGGUGGGUAUGUUAAUAGCAUAUUCAUUUGACGUUAGCUGCAGAAGAAGCACCGGCUAACUCCGUGCCAGCAGCCGCGGUAAUACGGAGGGUGCGAGCGUUAAUCGGAAUUACUGGGCGUAAAGCGCAUGCAGGUGGUUUGUUAAGUCAGAUGUGAAAGCCCGGGGCUCAACCUCGGAAUUGCAUUUGAAACUGGCAAACUAGAGUACUGUAGAGGGGGUAGAAUUUCAGGUGUAGCGGUGAAAUGCGUAGAGAUCUGAAGGAAUACCGGUGGCGAAGGCGGCCCCCUGGACAGAUACUGACACUCAGAUGCGAAAGCGUGGGGAGCAAACAGGAUUAGAUACCCUGGUAG